UGGGGGAUAUUGCACAAUGGGGGGAACCCUGAUGCAGCGACGCCGCGUGGGUGAAGAAGUAUUUCGGUAUGUAAAGCCCUAUCAGCAGGGAAGAAAGAAGACGGUACCUGAGUAAGAAGCCCCGGCUAACUACGUGCCAGCAGCCGCGGUAAUACGUAGGGGGCAAGCGUUAUCCGGAUUUACUGGGCGUAAAGGGAGCGUAGACGGCAUGGCAAGUCCGGAGUGAAAGCCCACAGCCCAACUGUGGGACUGCUCUGGAAACUGUCAGGCUGGAGAACGGGAGGGGCAGGCGGAAUUCCUGGUGUAGCGGUGAAAUGCGUAGAUAUCAGGAGGAACACCGGCGGCGAAGGCGGCCUGCUGGACCGUGACUGACGUUGAGGCUCGAAAGCGUGGGGAGCAAACAGGAUUAGAUACC
rnacentral:rRNA from 1 species